AACCUGGGAACUGCAUCUGAUACUGGCAAGCUUGAGUCUCGUAGAGGGGGGUAGAAUUCCAGGUGUAGCGGUGAAAUGCGUAGAGAUCUGGAGGAAUACCGGUGGCGAAGGCGGCCCCCUGGACGAAGACUGACGCUCAGGUGCGAAAGCGUGGGGAGCAAACAGGAUUAGAUACCCUGGUAGUCCACGCCGUAAACGAUGUCGACUUGGAGGUUGUGCCCUUGAGGCGUGGCUUCCGGAGCUAACGCGUUAAGUCGACCGCCUGGGGAGUACGGCCGCAAGGUUAAAACUCAAAUGAAUUGACGGGGGCCCGCACAAGCGGUGGAGCAUGUGGUUUAAUUCGAUGCAACGCGAAGAACCUUACCUGGUCUUGACAUCCACAGAACUUUCCAGAGAUGGAUUGGUGCCUUCGGGAAC
rnacentral:rRNA from 1 species